rnacentral:rRNA from 1 species
AACGAACGCUGGCGGCAGGCUUAACACAUGCAAGUCGAACGCAUCGCAAGAUGAGUGGCAGACGGGUGAGUAACGCGUGGGAAUCUACCCAGUUCUACGGAACAACAGUUGGAAACGACUGCUAAUACCGUAUACGCCCUACGGGGGAAAGAUUUAUCGGAAUUGGAUGAGCCCGCGUAAGAUUAGCUAGUUGGUGGGGUAAUGGCCUACCAAGGCGACGAUCUUUAGCUGGUCUGAGAGGAUGAUCAGCCACACUGGGACUGAGACACGGCCCAGACUCCUACGGGAGGCAGCAGUGGGGAAUAUUGGACAAUGGGCGCAAGCCUGAUCCAGCCAUGCCGCGUGAGUGAUGAAGGCCUUAGGGUUGUAAAGCUCUUUCACCGAUGAAGAUAAUGACGGUAGUCGGAGAAGAAGCCCCGGCUAACUUCGUGCCAGCCGCCGCCGUAACAC